rnacentral:misc_RNA from 1 species
GAAAUGCGAUAAGUAAUGUGAAUUGCAGAAUUCAGUGAAUCAUCGAAUCUUUGAACGCACCUUGCGCUCCUUGGUAUUCCGAGGAGCAUGCCUGUUUGAGUGUCAUUAAUAUAUAUCAACCUCUCUUGUUGAGUCGUUUGGAUGUGGGGGGUUUGCUGGCCUGUUCAGCUCCUCUGAAAUACAUUAGCAGAACAACCUGAUUCAUUGGUGUGAUAAACUAUCUACGCUAUUGAAUGCAAGGUGCAGUUCAGCUUUCUAACGGUCCUUGGACAAGUUAUCAAUUAUGUGACCUCAAAUCAGGUAGGAUUACCCGCUGAACUUAA